GGUUGCGUGGAAGGAAGACGGCCUCCGGAGCCGUGUGCGCAGGUUCGAAUCCUGCCGGGG
rnacentral:tRNA from 1 species